CAUUGGUAUCUCCAGGUUAAAUGCACUUUUUCACAGGUUGGGAUCGCUGUGGUUGAGACUCCUGCCAGGGGCUGCCUGGCACUGCCCUAUGUCCCCAUGUGAAGGCACUGACACCGCUGGAGGCUCUGAGCUACCACUUCUACUAUCCAUCUUCUGGAUAUCUUUACAGGCUUGAGCCCACAGUGGGCCCUCUCCUUUCAUCUUUUAUUACCGGCAUUUUUACCAGGAUGACAUUUUGACUGGUCUGGGAAAUCUUCUCACCCGCCACACUGCUUCCUGACAAUCAAGAUUUAAUCUUU
rnacentral:lncRNA from 1 species